rnacentral:misc_RNA from 1 species
GAUGAAGAACGUAGUGAAAUGCGAUAAGUAAUGUGAAUUGCAGAAUUCAGUGAAUCAUCGAAUCUUUGAACGCACAUUGCGCCCCCUGGUAUUCCGGGGGGCAUGCCCGUCCGAGCGUCAUUACAACCCUCAAGCUCAGCUUGGUGUUGGGCCCCGCCGCCCCGGCGGGCCCUAAAGUCAGUGGCGGUGCCGUCCGGCUCCGAGCGUAGUAAUUCUUCUCGCUCUGGAGGUCCGGUCGUGUGCUCGCCAGCAACCCCCAAUUUUUUUCAGGUUGACCUCGGAUCAGGUAGGGAUACCCGCUGAACUUAAGCAUAUCAAUAAGCGGAGGA